CACGCCCCCGCCACGCCCUCACGCUCACGCGGUGAGUUCUGGACAAUGUAGUUCCAGCCCUUUGAUCUCCCUUUCCCUGAGGACGCUGCAGGCAGUGUCAGAACUACGACUCCCAGGGGCCUCUGCGGCUUGGUGGCUCCUCCCCCCGCUGCCUGGAGCUCCAACAGGAGCCCAACGAACCCAACGGCGCCCGGGGGUCUCGCGCGGUCGGUUAAGCGGCUCUGCGAUCAGUAGAGGCCGGGCUGCAGUCCCUUACGCAUCCUCGGGACCAGGAAAGGGAGCGAUGAAGGCGCCGGCGCCCAGCCGCUCUGGCCUUCCGCCCGCGGCUCCAGCUCAGGGCCCCCGACCACUUCGGGCCACCUGGAGACCUGGCCGUCGGGAGUAUUAAAAGCGCCCCGGCCUCUCGGGAAGUGCGACCAAAGCCGACAGCGACUGGUGUCGAGGAAGAAGGGGGUCGUUUCAGGCUGUGACAUGGAAGCAGUUUUCUCGAGGAGGAAAGACGAGUUUUACAGACCGUUUGGUGACCGCGCCUCAGCUCUGCCCAGCGUUCACUCUACAAUUGCAGUGAGCACCUGUUAUGUGCAGCGAUCACAGAGAUGAGACCGACCAGAGCCUUACUGUCGAGGAACUGGACAAACAAGAACCCACAGAGGCCCCAGGCUGCUAAAAUACAUCCCAGAGGUCGACAAUCCAGGAGGUGCUUAGCAAAGGACAAGCCAGAGACACGCGGAGCUCAUCAGGUUUCUUGAGAAUAGUCUCCAUUCUUAAACUUUUUUCAUUUCCUCACCUGCUUGCCCCUAACAAAAUUUCACCAUUUUCCAUUUCCCACCAUUCUACUGGAAGCUUCUGGCAGUCUCUGGUGAAGUCCUAAAUGUUAGAGCAUCCGACACUAUCAAGACUGUCAUUCUUAAGACACUGUUCUCUGUCCAGUUUUCUUGCUUCCUCUUCCCCCAUUCCUUCUCAAGCUGUAGACAGGGCUGUUCUCUGCAGCCCACCCUGGACAUCUUGCUGCAGCCCACAUCUGCCUUAGACUUACUGCUCUGUGGUCUCCCUGGCUUCUCCCAGUCCUCUCUGGAGCUCCGGUCACGUGGGGUCACAGAGACAGACACGACUGAGCACAGCGCACAGCAUUCUAGUGGCUAAAGUUUCUUCUCAAGUUUAUACUGUAAUGAGGGAGACAGACAAGAAAUACAUGCUCUGGCAGAUGGUAUGUUCGUGCCAAGAAAAAUUAUAAAUCAGGUCAUGGGGACAGGGCGUUAUGGUGUGGAAGCAGGGUGCAGAUUUCAGUAAGUUGAUUAUAGAGGACAACUCUCUCUGUAGGUUGUGUUUUGAGCGGAGAAUGGAUGAUGUUCAUGGAUGGGGACAAAAGCCAGUGGCUGUCCUGGGAAGGAGUGGGUUAGGGUUCAGAUGGCCUUAACAAUAGCACUGGCUUUGCUUUGCGCAUGAAGUGCGACUGUGGGAGCAAAGAAAGAAAGUGAAGUUCCUCAGUCAUGUCUGACUCUUUGUGACCCCAUGGACUGUAACCUCCCAGCCUCCUCCGUCCAUGGGAUUUUCCAGGCAAGAGUACUGGAGUGGGUUGCCAUUUCCUUCUCCAGGGUAUCUUCCCAACCCAGGGAUCCAACCCGAGUCUCCCACAUUGCAGGCAGAUGCUUUACCGUCUGAGCCACCAGGAAGCCCUGGUGGGAGUAAAG
ensembl:lncRNA